GCGAAGGACGCGAACAGGAAAUCCAGGCGCACACAAAGCGCAUGCUCCCGGUCCUGCUAAGUGCGGUGCAGGCUGGGUACCCGCUCGGGGUUUGCCCGUGAGGUGAUAACAGCAGAUCAAAGGCACCAAGACCAGAAUGUACUUUCGAAGAGCCAGCUGAGGCUGUGUGGAAAUAAUGCUUAGCAUUUAUGUCGCACUUUAGACUCUCAAAGGAUUCUACAAUUAUUAAUUAAUUAUCCCACACAAUAGCUCUAGGAGGAAGGAAAUAAUGCGCUGAGUGCUAAGUGCUUUACAAUGCUGGUUUUACUUCAGCCUCACAAUGACUUUUGAGAGAAAAGAAACACUUCUACUGAAGCUAUGAAAAAAGUGCCCAGAUCUUCUAAGUUUUUAUGGUAAUUAAUUGCAUAAAGUUUUACGCCUACAAGGCAUGGUGAAGUUAUUAGUAGAUAAGUCAAAAGUGGCAAACUAUAAAUAUUAUGUGAAAUGUAAGAUCAAGAUUGAAGUCUUAUGGAGUAUCAUUUUAUUCAAUUAAUUAAAGACAACAGACCUACAAAUCCAGAAGGUUGAGCACACACAUAACAUGUGUUUAUCAAAAAGUAGCUAGAUGUGAUAAAGAUAUAUUUAUUUUUAUUCUGUCUACCUUCUUGGAAACAAUUUCCUGAUUUUCUGAACGUUUGCCUAAAGUUUGGAGUCAUAAUAAAAUCUACAAAUAAUGAUAUGUAGCUCCCAUU